rnacentral:lncRNA from 1 species
CCAGCGCACAGAUUAAUACCGAUGUAGCAUUUUAACCGGGAAGUAUUCCAGGUAUCGUUAUUUAUAUUUUUACCACUGGGAAGGGAUUAACAAUCAUCAAUAUUGAUUACAGAAUAGAAUAUGAGAUUGAGCAUCUAUCAUUGCAUGUAUAAUUGAGAACAUUAUAUCUAACUCUUCAUACAGGGAUAAGUGUCACAUAAAAGAUAUAUGAAAUAACGAAUAGUGACAAGGAUAACUAGUCUGAUCUAGCCACAUAAU